rnacentral:rRNA from 1 species
UACGUAGGGGCCGAGCGUUGUCCGGGGUUAUUGGGCGUAAAGCGCGCGCAGGCGGCCUCGCGCGCCCGACGUGAAAGCCCCCGGCUUAACCGGGGAGGGUCGUUGGGGACGGCGGGGCUUGAGGGCGGGAGAGGUCGGUGGAAUUCCCGGUGUAGUGGUGAAAUGCGUAGAGAUCGGGAGGAACACCUGUGGCGAAGGCGGCCGACUGGGCCGACCCUGACGCUGAGGCGCGAAGGCGUGGGGAGCGAACGGG